rnacentral:rRNA from 1 species
UACGGAGGAUCCAAGCGUUAUCCGGAAUCAUUGGGUUUAAAGGGUCCGUAGGUGGACGGUUAAGUCAGGGGUGAAAGUCUGCAGCUCAACUGUAGAAUUGCCCUUGAUACUGGUCGUCUUGAAUUAUUGUGAAGUGGUUAGAAUAUGUAGUGUAGCGGUGAAAUGCAUAGAUAUUACAUAGAAUACCAAUUGCGAAGGCAGAUCACUAACAAUACAUUGACACUGAUGGACGAAAGCGUGGGUAGCGAACAGG